UGGUGCUUUCAAAGAGAGAUUAGAGCUUCACAUUUGUCUAUCUUUAUGAAGUACUUGAGCGAAAUGUGUAAACAAGAUAGUGUUGCUGGAAUGUAUGGAUUUUGCAAUAUUGGUUGUUUAUCUCCGCUGACACCAAUGACUAAAGAAGGACGAUCAGACUAUUUAACAAUUGUGUUUGGUCAAAAUGAAGGGAAGAAUCUUAAUCAACUUUUCUUUGCUCCGUAUAAAGAAAAUGUCCUCGUCAAUCA